UUACCAGUGUAACACCCCGUACUUUUCCUCAUGUUGUAGGAUAGUGUCUUAACACUAAUAAGAGUACUGAGAUGUCGAAAUACGAGACUAUUUUUUUUUAUGAGCAGAUAAGACAGAUUGUCUUUUAAAUAGAGAUACGAGUGAAUAAACCGAUGAUGGAAUUAGAGUGUGAGAUUUGAGAAAUGAGUUGAGAUAGAGAUGCUGAUUGAAUUGAGCUGAGAUUUUAUUUUAUUUCCAACUACCGGGAAUAGAGUUACCGGAUACUGAAUUAUUAGAGAUUGACUGUCCUAUUAAGAAAAAUAGGAAUAAUGAGUUGGAAAUAGAGUCGAGGAAGAAAGAGUGAGAAACCUUGAUAAAUUGAGUCGGUCAAAGAGACGUCUAGCUUAUUUGAGUCUGCCGACUGUUUUGAUGUGAUGUUAUGUGAAUUUACGUGACUGAGUGAUUAUGUGAUUUUGUGACGUGUGUCAAUAUGACCAUAUUAUUAUGAUUUUUAUUUGAAACCUUAGCACUUGGGAAUUUUUAUUAAGUUUCCAAAGAAAGUGCGGCUUAUUUUUACCAAGAAAUCGAAUGAUGCCGGUUUAUGGAAAUUUUUCCAAGCAUAAUAUUUUUUUUAAAUUAUUUUUCCUAUGAUGAGGAAUAUUAUAAUUGAGUGAGUGCACUAAUAUUAGUACUAUAAUUAUUUUAUUUUGGUCACAUGAAUAAUUAUACUAUGGUACUUUAUUAAUGAGUAAUAUUUCCAUAGUUUUUGUGAUUAUUAUUUAAUCACCCUUCUCACAUGAUUUAUUUUUAAUUUCCCAAGUAUGAGACUAAUUACUAAAAUUUACUAAGUGUAGAGAUUGAGAGAGUAGAGAUUUAGAGAGUAGAGAUUAGAGAGAGUGUAGAGAUUAUGAGAGAGAGAGAGAUCAAGGCAAUUAAUGCCAAUAUUCACUAAGAUUGCCAAAUCUUCUAUAAGAUUAGCAAAAUCCUCUCAAAUCUUUCAAGAUAAUUCUCUCUCUCACUCCACCCCAAAUUUUCGAUCACCACCUUCUCCCUCCCUUCAUCUCUCUACUUUCCACCAUUGACAACCAUUAACAAGACCUUCGGAGCUUCACAAAAUCACACCAAAAACACAAAUCACCCUCUAAAUCUUACACUAAACACUUCCACCUCCUUGAAUCCAAGAAGAUCUUUGGAGUUUGAUCUUCAAAGUUAGAGAGAGAAAGUUUGGUUUUGGGUGUAAGUUUGGACACGAGCAGAGCAAGGAAGUAAGUAACUCCGCUUUGACGGGAGUGUUUGAGUAAGGUCUUCAGGCUAAGCGAGGAGCGAGAUUGGUCUGGUGCUAGUGGGGGAAACGUUUCAAUCGAUGUAAUUAUGUUUUCGUAUUGCCUUCAUGUUAAUAGAGUCUUGAGGAUGGAGAUACUUUGUUUUCUUUUGAAAUCAAGCAAUUUACUCACGGUUAUGUGUCUUCAUACAUGUAAUCGAUUCGCCUUUUGCUGCGAUACUCUGCAUUUUAUGAUUCCUUAUGAAAAAUGAGCUAUACCCGUUUUGUUUUUGUUCGUGAAAUUCCUGAUAAUUAAAAAGUUAUAACGACGUUGACGAUUUUA